rnacentral:rRNA from 1 species
AGAGUUUGAUCAUGGCUCAGGACGAACGCUGACGGUGUGCUUUAGACAUGCAAGUCGAACGAGAAAGCCCUUCGGGGUGAGUACAGUGGCGAACGGGUGAGUAACACGUGGGCAAUCUGCCCCUCGCAGGGGGACAACCGGGGGAAACCCCGGCUAAUACCCCGUACGCUUGCGGAGUCGCAUGGCUCCGUAAGGAAAGGUAGCUUCGGCCAUCCGGCGAGGGAUGAGCCCGCGGUACAUUAGCUAGUUGGUGGGGUAACGGCCCACCAAGGCGACGAUGCGUAGCUGGUCUGAGAGGAUGAUCAGCCACACUGGGACUGAGACACGGCCCAGACUCCUACGGGAGGCAGCAGUGGGGAAUUUUGGGCAAUGGGCGCAAGCCUGACCCAGCAAUUCCGCGUGGGUGAAGAAGGUCUUCGGAUUGUAAAGCCCUUUCGGCGGGGACGAUGGUGACGGUACCCGCAGAAGAAGCCCCGGCUAACUUCGUGCCAGCAGCCGCGGUAAUACGAAGGGGGCUAGCGUUGCUCGGAAUUAUUGGGCGUAAAGAGCUCGUAGGCGGUCUGUCGCGUCGGCUGUGAAAUCCCGAGGCUCAACCUCGGGUCUGCAGUCGAUACGGGCAAACUAGAGUGUUGCAGGGGAGACUGGAAUUCCUGGUGUAGCGGUGAAAUGCGCAGAUAUCAGGAGGAACACCGGUGGCGAAGGCGGGUCUCUGGGCAACAACUGACGCUGAGGAGCGAAAGCGUGGGGAGCGAACAGGAUUAGAUACCCCGGUAGUCC